rnacentral:rRNA from 1 species
CGUAGGGUGCGAGCGUUAAUCGGAAUUACUGGGCGUAAAGGGUGCGCAGGCGGCGUCGCAAGUCAGGCGUGAAAUCCCCGGGCUUAACCUGUGAAUGGCGCUUGAAACUACGAUGCUGGAGUAUGGCAGAGGGAGGUGGAAUUCCACGUGUAGCGGUGAAAUGCGUAGAGAUGUGGAGGAACACCGAUGGCGAAGGCAGCCUCCUGGGCCAAUACUGACGCUCAUGCACGAAAGCGUGGGGAGCAAACAGGAUUAGAUACCCUGGUAGUCCACGCCCUAAACGAUGAUGACUAGUUGUUGGAGGAGUUAAAUCCUUUAGUAACGCAGCUAACGCGCGAAGUCAUCCGCCUGGGGAGUACGGUCGCAAGAUUA